rnacentral:misc_RNA from 1 species
AGAGUUUGCAAGUUGACGUGCAGUUAUCAGGACGUGACGCUUUCAUCAGAACUUGGUUGGUCCUUAUGCUUUCGAGGAUGUCUACCUUGAUUAUCUAGCUUAGAUAUAGUCUUUAGCUAGUUGAGCAUGUUCCACUAGUGUUCCUUUCAACUUUUAUUACAUACUUUGUAUUGGUGUCGUUUUGGCAAAAAAACUUUUAAUGCAAUUAUG